rnacentral:rRNA from 1 species
GGUUAAGCGACUAAGCGUACACGGUGGAUGCCCUGGCAGUCAGAGGCGAUGAAGGACGUGCUAAUCUGCGAUAAGCGUCGGUAAGGUGAUAUGAACCGUUAUAACCGGCGAUUUCCGAAUGGGGAAACCCAGUGUGAUUCGUCACACUAUCAUUACGUGAAUACAUAGCGUAAUGAAGCGAACCGGGGGAACUGAAACAUCUAAGUACCCCGAGGAAAAGAAAUCAACCGAGAUUCCCCCAGUAGCGGCGAGCGAACGGGGAGCAGCCCAGAGUCUGAAUCAGCUUGUGUGUUAGUGGAACGGUCUGGAAAGUCCGACGGUACAGGGUGAUAGUCCCGUACACCAAAAUGCACAGGUUGUGAACUCGAAGAGUAGGGCGGGACACGUGGUAUCCUGUCUGAAUAUGGGGGGACCAUCCUCCAAGGCUAAAUACUCCUGACUGACCGAUAGUGAACCAGUACCGUGAGGGAAAGGCGAAAAGAACCCCGGCGAGGGGAGUGAAAAAGAACCUGAAACCGUGUACGUACAAGCAGUGGGAGCCUCUUUAUGGGGUGACUGCGUACCUUUUGUAUAAUGGGUCAGCGACUUAUAUUCUGUAGCAAGGUUAACCGUAUAGGGGAGCCGAAGGGAAACCGAGUCUUAACUGGGCGUUAAGUUGCAGGGUAUAGACCCGAAACCCGGUGAUCUAGCCAUGGGCAGGUUGAAGGUUGGGUAACACUAACUGGAGGACCGAACCGACUAAUGUUGAAAAAUUAGCGGAUGACUUGUGGCUGGGGGUGAAAGGCCAAUCAAACCGGGAGAUAGCUGGUUCUCCCCGAAAGCUAUUUAGGUAGCGCCUCGUGAACUCAUCUUCGGGGGUAGAGCACUGUUUCGGCUAGGGGGUCAUCCCGACUUACCAACCCGAUGCAAACUGCGAAUACCGAAGAAUGUUAUCACGGGAGACACACGGCGGGUGCUAACGUCCGUCGUGAAGAGGGAAACAACCCAGACCGCCAGCUAAGGUCCCAAAGUCAUGGUUAAGUGGGAAACGAUGUGGGAAGGCACAGACAGCCAGGAUGUUGGCUUAGAAGCAGCCAUCAUUUAAAGAAAGCGUAAUAGCUCACUGGUCGAGUCGGCCUGCGCGGAAGAUGUAACGGGGCUAAACCAUGCACCGAAGCUGCGGCAGCGACACUAUGUGUUGUUGGGUAGGGGAGCGUUCUGUAAGCCGUUGAAGGUGGCCUGUGAGGGUUGCUGGAGGUAUCAGAAGUGCGAAUGCUGACAUAAGUAACGAUAAUGCGGGUGAAAAACCCGCACGCCGGAAGACCAAGGGUUCCUGUCCAACGUUAAUCGGGGCAGGGUGAGUCGACCCCUAAGGCGAGGCCGAAAGGCGUAGUCGAUGGGAAACAGGUUAAUAUUCCUGUACUUGGUGUUACUGCGAAGGGGGGACGGAGAAGGCUAUGUUAGCCGGGCGACGGUUGUCCCGGUUUAAGCAUGUAGGCGGAGGUUCCAGGUAAAUCCGGUACCUUUUAACGCUGAGGUGUGAUGACGAGGCACUACGGUGCUGAAGUAACAAAUGCCCUGCUUCCAGGAAAAGCCUCUAAGCAUCAGGUAACACGAAAUCGUACCCCAAACCGACACAGGUGGUCAGGUAGAGAAUACCAAGGCGCUUGAGAGAACUCGGGUGAAGGAACUAGGCAAAAUGGUGCCGUAACUUCGGGAGAAGGCACGCUGAUAUGUAGGUGAAGCGGUUUACCCGUGGAGCUGAAAUCAGUCGAAGAUACCAGCUGGCUGCAACUGUUUAUUAAAAACACAGCACUGUGCAAACACGAAAGUGGACGUAUACGGUGUGACGCCUGCCCGGUGCCGGAAGGUUAAUUGAUGGGGUUAUCCGUAAGGAGAAGCUCUUGAUCGAAGCCCCGGUAAACGGCGGCCGUAACUAUAACGGUCCUAAGGUAGCGAAAUUCCUUGUCGGGUAAGUUCCGACCUGCACGAAUGGCGUAAUGAUGGCCAGGCUGUCUCCACCCGAGACUCAGUGAAAUUGAACUCGCUGUGAAGAUGCAGUGUACCCGCGGCAAGACGGAAAGACCCCGUGAACCUUUACUAUAGCUUGACACUGAACACUGGUCCUUGAUGUGUAGGAUAGGUGGGAGGCUUUGAAGUGUGGACGCCAGUCUGCAUGGAGCCAUCCUUGAAAUACCACCCUUUAAUGGCUGGUGUUCUAACGUGGACCCGUUACCCGGGUUGCGGACAGUGUCUGGUGGGUAGUUUGACUGGGGCGGUCUCCUCCUAAAGAGUAACGGAGGAGCACGAAGGUUAGCUAAUCCUGGUCGGACAUCAGGAGGUUAGUGCAAAGGCAUAAGCUAGCUUGACUGCGAGAGUGACGGCUCGAGCAGGUGCGAAAGCAGGUCUUAGUGAUCCGGUGGUUCUGAAUGGAAGGGCCAUCGCUCAACGGAUAAAAGGUACUCCGGGGAUAACAGGCUGAUACCGCCCAAGAGUUCAUAUCGACGGCGGUGUUUGGCACCUCGAUGUCGGCUCAUCACAUCCUGGGGCUGAAGUAGGUCCCAAGGGUAUGGCUGUUCGCCAUUUAAAGUGGUACGCGAGCUGGGUUUAGAACGUCGUGAGACAGUUCGGUCCCUAUCUGCCGUGGGCGCUGGAGAAUUGAGGGGGGCUGCUCCUAGUACGAGAGGACCGGAGUGGACGCAUCACUGGUGUUCGGGUUGUCAUGCCAAUGGCAUUGCCCGGUAGCUAAAUGCGGAAGAGAUAAGUGCUGAAAGCAUCUAAGCACGAAACUUGCCCCGAGAUGAGUUCUCCCUGAGACUUUAAGUCUCCUGAAGGAACGUUGAAGACGACGACGUUGAUAGGUCGGGUGUGUAAGUGUAGCGAUACAUUGAGCUAACCGAUACUAAUGAACCGUGAGGCUUAACCUU